AAAUUGAAGAGUUUGAUCAUGGCUCAGAUUGAACGCUGGCGGCAGGCCUAACACUUGCAAGUCGAGCGGUAGCACAGAGAGCUUGCUCUCGGGUGACGAGCGGCGGACGGGUGAGUAAUGUCUGGGAAACUGCCUGAUGGUGGGGGAUAACUACUGGAAACGGUAGCUAAUACCGCAUAACGUCGCAAGACCAAAGUGGGGGACCUUCGGGCCUCAUGCC
rnacentral:rRNA from 1 species